CUUUGGGGAACACCUGGGGCUAAAUGAAGCCAACUUGGUAUAAAGCAGACUUUAAGGGUGGAGGGAACCAUGUCCUGAGGAAACCACUUCAAUUUGAUUCUAUUAAUGGUCUGGCUACUUUGCCUAGCCUGGAGCGAAACUAAAUCUAAUCUAGUCUAGGAUUAGCUUUACCACAGAAAGUUCCCAUACAUUUUGCUUAAACCUGUUUGAGUUGUGUUUCUGACACUUGGAUCAAAAGUAUAAUUAAUGAUUCUUUGUUCAAAAAAAUCUUUGGUGACUUUCAUUGCAAUGGACUGCAAGUGCCCUCUCAAAAUUCCUGUUGAAACUUAUUCCCAAAGUGAUGGUAUUUGAGGUGGGGCCUUAGAACGUGAUUAGGUCAUGAAGGUGGAGCCCCCCUGAACAGGGACUAGUGUCCUUAUAAAAGGGACUCCAGGGAGCUGUCUUGCUCUCACUCAGGCACUUACGUGGACACAAUGAGAAGACAGCGGUCUACAGGUGGGAGGAAGUUUCUCAUCAGAAUCUGGCCAUUCUGACACCCUGAUCUUGGACUUCCAGCCUCCAGAACUAUGUUGGCGCUUCUAGUAUCUACAUCAUUUCAUGUGGGGAAGGCUCAUGAUGAAGCAGAACCAUGCUUUUGUUUUGGAAGUAGACAUGAGGAGCUGGAGCAGUAGUGAGGAGGCAACAUACAAUAUUCAACGGAGACGAGCAGGCACGUCACCGCCUCCUGGAACUUAGACACAGUGGCUAACGCCUCGGCACCACUCUCGGGUCCAGUUUAAAGUCACCCGCUCAACAGCCAGAGUCGGCCUGCAGAAAUGAAGAUCACCUACUCUCAAGGCUCCAGUGACUUUCUAUUCCUCUUAAGAUGAAGUCCCUUCACCUUCCCAUGACCUGCAGGCCUGUGUGAUGGGUUCCUGCCCGCUCCAUCCCCCCUCCUAUCACUUCCUACCUGCUUUCUCUGCUCCAGCUCUUCUUAUCAUUGUGCUUUUUCUUGAACCCACCAAGCCUGUUCCAUCUCCCUGGGCUUUCUUCUCUGGGAGAUGUACAUGGCUCCCUGUGCACCCCAUUGCUGCAGGCUUCUGGUUCAACGUCUCCUCGUCAGAGAGCCUACGCAGACCACUCUGCCUGAAACCAGCCGCUCCCUUCACUCUCUGUGCCCUUACUCUGCUUCAUUCUUUUCCAUAGAAUUUACCCCUCCUCACAUCUUGACUGCCCAUUUUCAUUAGAAGGUAAG
ensembl:lncRNA